UCUCACGAAGACUUUAACCUGAGCCAGACCGACAACAAGAGACCACAUCCCACCAUACAGGACCGUAAGACACCGCUGGUAAAUAUAAUCAGGUAUCUGACCCCCUGGUGGGGAUCAGGUCUUGGUAUCGGCCGAUACGCAAGCUCGGGACUUCAGAAUCGGUAUCUAGAAGCAAAAGAUGGUGUCGGACCCUCUCUAGUGUUAGGCAGGACUUUCAGUCUAAAAGCCGUUCAGGUCCAGCUACGGGGUCCCUCUGCAACGCCAAGUGGUCUCGUGGUGGCGAGGACCC